GUUAAAAAGGGUUUUCCGUUAAAAAAAAGUGGGCCCUCGGUUCCUUUUUUAAUUUUUUUUGGGGGGGGGGAAAGGGGUUCCCCCAAGAUUUUCAAUAAGGUAGGGGGGUUUGAGAGGGAUUUUUCCCCCCCCCUGGGUUAUUUGGACCCCGGGCCCAGAUUCUUCCGGGAGGGAGCCAGUGAGGAAUUUGGCCAAUAGGAGAAAGUUUGACGCACCCUUCCGCGGGGAAGGAGGCGGGCGCUACGCGUUGUAAACUUUUUUUAUAUACAAAGAACCUUUCGGAGGUUUCGAAGCCGGCCGGUAGUAUAUGAAUAAGCACCGGCUAACUCCGUGCAGCCAGCCGCGGUUAUACGGAGGGUGCAAGCGUUAUCCGGAUUAUUUGGGUUUAAAGGGUCCGUAGGCGGAUCAUUAAGUCAGUGGUGAAAGCCGACAGCUCAACUGUCGAACUGCCAUUGAUACUGGUGAUCUUGAGUACGGUUGAAGUAGGCGGAAUAUGACAUGUAGCGGUGAAAUGCUUAGAUAUGUCAUAGAACACCGAUUGCGAAGGCAGCCUACUAAGCCGUUACUGACGCUGAGGGACGAAAGUGUGGGGAGCGAACAGGAUUAGAUACCCUGGUAGUCCACACCGUAAACGAUGAUUACUCGGUAUUGGCUUUAUUGUCAGUGCCCAAGCGAAAGUGAUAAGUAAUCCACCUGGGGAGUACGGCCGCAAGGUUGAAACUCAAAGGAAUUGACGGGGGCCCGCACAAGCGGUGGAGCAUGUGGUUUAAUUCGAUGAUACGCGAGGAACCUUACCAGGGCUUAAAUGUAGAACGACCGGGGUGGAAACACCCCCUUUUUCGAACGGUCUACAAGGUGCUGCAUGGUUGUCGUCAGCUCGUGCUGUGAAGUGUCGGGUUAAGUCCCAUAACGAGCGCAACCCCUAUUUCUAGUUGCCAGCGGUUCGGCCGGGGACUCUAGAGAAACUGCCAGCGUAAGCUGUGAGGAAGGUGGGGACGACGUCAAAUCAUCACGGCCCUUACGUCCUGGGCCACACACGUGCUACAAUGGUGGGGACAACGAGUUGCCAACCCGCAAGGGUGAGCUAAUCUCUCAAACCCCAUCUCAGUUCGGAUCGAAGUCUGCAACUCGACUCCGUGAAGUUGGAAUCGCUAGUAAUCGCGCAUCAGCCAUGNCGUGGAUUCCCGCCGCU
rnacentral:rRNA from 1 species